rnacentral:tRNA from 1 species
GACAAGGUAUCUGGCCAGCGGUUGAAUGUGGAGCCGGGUGUCAGUCUGCCGCUGGGCACUGCAGGAUUCUU